ACUGGAAUCUCGGGCCCGUUCCAUUUUUCACCCUCUGCCGUGUAUAUGUUACCUGUUUAUGGAGAACACAAAUCCAGCAAAUGUGGAAAUGCUGAUGAGAAAGAAGAAUGCAACCGAUGAUAAAGACAUUACAAAUUAUUCCUGUUAAGAGGAGGCCUCUCUUCCUAAAUGUACAUAUGUAUGUAUCAAUACUACAUACAACUUCAGUCAAUGGUAUCCGUUUCAACUGAACAAGGGACGGGAGAAGAUGGCCUGCUAUAAAUAUGUAGCCAUAUCACAACCCAUGCUGAUCCUAAACAGGCAAAAGAG